AGAGUUUGAUCCUGGCUCAGGAUGAACGCUGGCGGCGUGCUUAACACAUGCAAGUCGAACGAACCUUCGGGUUAGUGGCGGACGGGUGAGUAACGCGUGAGAAUCUGCCCUCAGGAGGGGGAUAACGGUUGGAAACGACCGCUAAUACCCCAUAUGCCUAUUGGUGAAAUGAAUUUCGCCUGAGGAUGAGCUCGCGUCUGAUUAGCUUGUUGGUGAGGUAAUGGCUCACCAAGGCUUCGAUCAGUAGCUGGUCUGAGAGGAUGAUCAGCCACACUGGGACUGAGACACGGCCCAGACUCCUACGGGAGGCAGCAGUGGGGAAUUUUCCGCAAUGGGCGAAAGCCUGACGGAGCAACGCCGCGUGAGGGACGAAGGCCUCUGGGCUGUAAACCUCUUUUCUCAAGGAAGAAGAUAUGACGGUACUUGAGGAAUAAGCCACGGCUAAUUCCGUGCCAGCAGCCGCGGUAAUACGGGAGUGGCAAGCGUUAUCCGGAAUUAUUGGGCGUAAAGCGUCCGCAGGCGGCUUUUCAAGUCUGCUGUUAAAGCGUGGAGCUUAACUCCAUCAUGGCAGUGGAAACUGAAAGGCUUGAGUACGGUAGGGGCAGAGGGAAUUCCCGGUGUAGCGGUGAAAUGCGUAGAUAUCGGGAAGAACACCAGUGGCGAAGGCGCUCUGCUGGGCCAUUACUGACGCUCAUGGACGAAAGCCAGGGGAGCGAAAGGGAUUAGAUACCCCUGUAGUCCUGGCCGUAAACGAUGAACACUAGGUGUCGGGGGGAAUCGACCCCUUCGGUGUCGUAGCUAACGCGUU
rnacentral:rRNA from 1 species